AACUUUGGACAAUGGGGGCAACCCUGAUCUAGCUAUCAUGCGUGUGCGAUGAAGGCUGUCGGGUUGUCAAGCACUUUUGGCCGGGAAGAAAAGGCGCGGUCUAAUACCCGGUGUCGCUGACGUUACCAGCAGAAUAAGCACGGGCGAACUACGUGCCAGCUGCCGCGGUAAUACGUAGGGUGCAAGCGUUAAUCGGAAUUACUGGGCGUAAAGCGUGCGCAGGCGGUUCGGCAAGAAGGAUGUGAAAUCCCGGGGCUUAACCUCGGAACUGCAUUCUUAACUGCCGGGCUAGAGUAUGUCAGAGGGGGGUAGAAUUCCACGUGUAGCAGUGAAAUGCGUAGAAAUGUGGAGGAAUACCGAUGGCGAAGGCAGCCCCCUGGGAUGAUACUGACGCUCAUGCACGAAAGCGUGGGGAGCAAACA
rnacentral:rRNA from 1 species